UUUAUUGUGCCACUCCAGCCUAGACCUAGGCCUUCUAUUUUUAUUUAUAUUUUUUUAAUAUUCAGCGCUUUUUCACAUGAAAAGACUGGGACUAGGUAAUUUGGGGGCGGGGCGGAGGAACCGCUGAAUACUAAAAAAUAUAAAUAAGACUAGAAGGCCUAGGUCUAGGCUGGUGCCACUCCAAU